rnacentral:rRNA from 1 species
GUAGGUGGCAAGCGUUGUCCGGAAUUAUUGGGCGUAAAGCGCGCGCAGGCGGUUCUUUAAGUCUGAUGUGAAAGCCCACGGCUCAACCGUGGAGGGUCAUUGGAAACUGGAGAACUUGAAUACAGAAGAGGAAAGCGGAAUUCCACGUGUAGCGGUGAAAUGCGUAGAGAUGUGGAGGAACACCAGUGGCGAAGGCGGCUUUCUGGUCUGUAACUGACGCUGAGGCGCGAAAGCGUGGGGAGCAAACAGGGAUUAGAUACCCUGGUAGUCCACGCCGUAAACGAUGAGUGCUAAGUGUUAGGGGGUUUCCGCCCCCUUAGUGCUGCAGCUAACGCAUUAAGCACUCCGCCUGGGGAGUACGGCCGCAAGGCUG